AGAUACUCAGCCCUCAUAACUCUCACUCGACCCCCACCACAACUCUUAAAACAGCUGAGAUCUUGUCCAAGUACAGACCUAUUGCUCCUAAGCCAGGGACGACUCCUCAAGUUAACGAUAAUGACUCUUCUUCUUCCUCUAUGUCCCACAAGAUCAGCCAAUCUCCUUACCUCCGUAACCUCUGGCCUCAGCUUCAAGCUCGUCCCACGAGAACACGCAAGCGAGGCCGAGGCGGCAUGGGUCCAACGUCUCCUCUUUCGUUGAAGAGACACAAGCCGUCAUCAUCUGCUUCUACCACCACUACUACUCCACAACGCGUGUUUGGCCCUAUUAAAACGCUGUCUGAAGAGAGUUUCCAUUUCAAUUUUUGAAGUCAAGCUUUACGCAUUAGAGAAGUCGAAGAGUGUCAGUGGACGAAGAAGUAUAGUUGCUUUCUAUAUGUUGUGCAAUAUUAUAUGCUUCGAAGGAUUUUGUAAGAGCCUCUCAAUUAGUCUGUUUUUGGUUUUGUUGUUUAUUCGUUUAUUUUAACUUUUAGCUUGUUCUAUUCGUCCUUGUUAGAUACUGAGUUUUGCUAGCUCAUAAUUUUAUUGAAUAUUAAGAAUCUUUUUUUUGUUCACUUAUAUGUUAAAAACUUUUAGUUGCCGCUAAUAUGGGGACUCUGCUCAUUCCAACGUAAUUAACAGUACUUGAUGUAAAGAUUAGUCGACAAACUAGCGAUAAGAAGUGAUGAUAAAAUCAUCUCAUAAGGUUAUCUUAACUAGAAUUUAUGGUAGGAUCCGUUACCAUAAAAAAUGGUGGAUAUGGGACCAAUUAACAAAUCUCGCAAUCAUCAAAAGACAAAAUCUUUAACAUGCAUGGAGCGUUAGGCUCCACAAACAAAACGUAACACUUUUCUUAUAACGGAUUCCAACCCCCUUUUCCCCUGAAUUCAGAAUCAAGAAAGUACAAGAGAGAUGAGCAAAACCACCACGAAAGCGGAAAGGUUAUAUGUGUCGACCAAACAUACGAUGUUAAACGGCAAAGCCAGAAUCUCAAGAAAAAAAAGCUAUUAAGACACGUACGAGAAAAGAAGCCCCCAGACGUCAACUAAAAAAUCCCCACGUGUCUCUCCUUCUUCUCCCACCGUUGCAUGGUUCAGACACACGCUGCAACUGCCUCGUGUUCCUCCCCCGCGACCAAUCACUUACAGACACAAACAUCUCCAACAACCAAAGACGCCAAUAACGCUUAACAAAACUUUGAAUAUACAUUGCAUGUAGUAAAAAAAUUACUAAAGUUUAAACCAAAAACUGGUGAUAGGUGUAGGCACGCAUGACGUCCAGCACCAACACGCGUUGCGGUGACAACCAUUGUGAUUGGUGAACCGAACCACAUCCCAUAGCAUCUCUUUGUAAAAAACGGCACAUUAAACUUACUUCUCCACACGUGUCCCUAUCCCCAACCCUCACUAACACGUACCCAUCCUUUACUCUCCAAAUGUCUUUCUUCCUUAAUAUUCGCCUCUCUCUUAUUGGCUCUUCACUCUCCUUAUUAUAACCUUCACCUCUCGUCACCUUCUCUACUGAUCUCUCAACAUCCAUCUUCUUUUUUCUUCCUUCUUCUUGUGGUUGAGUUUUGUUUUCCUUUAGUUUGACGCAAUGAUAAAGAUACUCAGCCCUCAUAACUCUCACUCGACCACCACCACAACUCUUAAAACAGCUGAGAUCUUGUCCAAGUACAGACCUAUUGCUCCUAAGCCAGGGACGACUCCUCAAGUUAACGAUAAUGACUCUUCUUCUUCCUCUAUGUCCCACAAGAUCAGCCAAUCUCCUUACCUCCGUAACCUCUGGCCUCAGCUUCAAGCUCGUCCCACGAGAACACGCAAGCGAGGCCGAGGCGGCAUGGGUCCAACGUCUCCUCUUUCGUUGAAGAGACACAAGCCGUCAUCAUCUGCUUCUAC
rnacentral:lncRNA from 1 species